rnacentral:rRNA from 1 species
GACGAACGCUGGCGGCGUGCUUAACACAUGCAAGUCGAACGGAAAGGCCUCUUUCGGGGGGUACUCGAGUGGCGAACGGGUGAGUAACACGUGAGUAACCUGCCCUUGACUUUGGGAUAACUUCAGGAAACUGGGGCUAAUACCGGAUAGGAGCUCCUGCUGCAUGGUGGGGGUUGGAAAGUUUCGGCGGUUGGGGAUGGACUCGCGGCUUAUCAGCUUGUUGGUGGGGUAGUGGCUUACCAAGGCUUUUACGGGUAGCCGGCCUGAGAGGGUGACCGGCCACAUUGGGACUGAGAUACGGCCCAGACUCCUACGGGAGGCAGCAGUGGGGAAUAUUGCACAAUGGGUGGAAGCCUGAUGCAGCAACGCCGUGUGCGGGAUGACGGCCUUCGGGUUGUAAACCGCUUUCGCUCAUGACGAAGCUUUGUGUGACGGUAGUGGGUAAAGAAGCACCGGCUAACUACGUG